rnacentral:rRNA from 1 species
UACAGAGGGUGCAAGCGUUAAUCGGAAUUACUGGGCGUAAAGCGCAUGUAGGUUGUUAUAUAAGUUUGAUGUGAAAGCCCUGGGCUUAACCUGGGAAUUGCGUUGAAUACUGUAUGACUAGAAUCGGAUAGAGGGUAGUGGAAUUUCAGGUGUAGCGGUGAAAUGCGUAGAUAUCUGAAAGAACACCAGUGGCGAAGGCGGCUACCUGGAUCCAGAUUGACACUGAGGCGCGAAGGCCAGGGGAGCGAACGGG